rnacentral:rRNA from 1 species
AUGGCCGUGGAGUGCGUCGGCGCGAACGGAAUAGUAGGUGGCGGCGCCGUCGCCGUCGCCGAGGAUGACCAGUGCGUAGCGGAGUAUGUGAAGGUCGGCGAGGACGAAGGGGAGGUGGUGGACAGCGGGGCUCCUGCAUCAGAACCUCAGAUGAGGAAACAGGAGAGUCCUCGCGGACUCGAAGGGCGGACAGCGCCGCGGCGUACUUGCCGACGUGGUCUUCGAAGGAGACGGAGUAGGGGAGGAGGAGACGGCGGUGGGGAGGGAGAGGUGGCGGGCGGCGGGUCUGCUGCAUCAGAGGAGUAG